rnacentral:rRNA from 1 species
GCAAGUCGAGCGAGCUUGCCUAGAUGAUUUUAGUGCUUGCACUAAAUGAAACUAGAUACAAGCGAGCGGCGGACGGGUGAGUAACACGUGGGUAACCUGCCCAAGAGACUGGGAUAACACCUGGAAACAGAUGCUAAUACCGGAUAACAACACUAGACGCAUGUCUAGAGUUUGAAAGAUGGUUCUGCUAUCACUCUUGGAUGGACCUGCGGUGCAUUAGCUAGUUGGUAAGGUAACGGCUUACCAAGGCAAUGAUGCAUAGCCGAGUUGAGAGACUGAUCGGCCACAUUGGGACUGAGACACGGCCCAAACUCCUACGGGAGGCAGCAGUAGGGAAUCUUCCACAAUGGACGAAAGUCUGAUGGAGCAACGCCGCGUGAGUGAAGAAGGGUUUCGGCUCGUAAAGCUCUGUUGGUAGUGAAGAAAGAUAGAGGUAGUAACUGGCCUUUAUUUGACGGUAAUUACUUAGAAAGUCACGGCUAACUACGUGCC